rnacentral:sRNA from 1 species
CAGUAUGAGCUUCCAAGGCAAUCGCUUUGGCUGACAAAUUUCGCACAAAAGAAUGUGCACGGCCUAGGUACGAAUUCAACCAUAAUUCCUUUACACUCCCGCCCCUCAGGGCCCCUCCACAUGGCUUAGGCCAGAUCGCGCGAGUUCAUUUCUAAACAAUUAAAAUAUUUGCGGGCAUUCAACUCUACUCAACUCAACUCAACUGGCUGGUUGGUUCAGUCGAAUCGUCGCCCAAUUGUUUAUUUAGUGAAUUUCAAUGCAAAUUGGAUUGCAGUUAGACGCUUCUUUGCUGAAUACCUCUGGGAGGUGGGCACGAGAGUUCAACUUGAAGGUCUAUGCAAUUAAACCAACAACAAAGGAGCCAUAAAAUAAAUAUCUCUCCGUGCCUAGAUUGACUCUUUGGGUCUUAGAUCGAUAUUUCAAGGUGUUACAAAGGGAAUAAUAACCGAUGUUUGAGGGCAUAAACACUCUCAGUGCAAAGUGCCGGUGGCCGCCCCAGCCCCAAAACACC